UACGUAGGGUGCGAGCGUUGUCCGGAAUUACUGGGCGUAAAGAGCUCGUAGGUGGUUUGUCGCGUUGUUCGUGAAAACCGGGGGCUUAACCCUCGGCGUGCGGGCGAUACGGGCAGACUUGAGUACUGCAGGGGAGACUGGAAUUCCUGGUGUAGCGGUGGAAUGCGCAGAUAUCAAGAGGAACACCUGCGGCGAAGGCGGGUUGCUGGGCCGACACUGACGCUGAGGCGCGAAAGCCAGGGGAGCGAACGGG
rnacentral:rRNA from 1 species